rnacentral:misc_RNA from 1 species
GCCAAAUUCUAUCACCUUUUUUCAUCCUUCCUUUCGCCUCGAUGUAACUCAUCUCAUACCAUAAUGAAGACGAUGAUGUGUUACCAAAUUUGUGCAGAGUCAUUCUUGAAGCCUCAACAUGUUCAGCAGAUAACUGAAGAUUCUUCUGAAGUUCAUCAAUAACAGCUCUUCCACCAGCAUGGAUGCAGAAAUGUUCGAAGGCUUGUUUGAAAUCAGGAAUAUAAGCUUUCCAUUUGGGAUUAAAAAUCUUCCUUCCAAUAAGAGUGAACAAGAAGAGAAGCUGCUCUGAAGCUGGAAGAACCAACGGACCGAUCGUAGUGAUGUUUGAUUUCAAAGCUUCCCCUGCUAUAACCAGAAGAUCCACAAGGGAAAGUUGGUAUUAAUCUAUCA